AGAGAUCUGCCCCGGGUCUCUGGGACGCACCAGGCGGUGAAGAGCAGACACACCACGCAUACCACCGUGAAAAUAGAAUACGGCACGUAAAGGCCGUAACUGUCCACCAGAUCGCCGGAUAAAGUUGACGCUUGUCAGCUGAAGUCAGCCCGAUAUCCUUCACAAAAAUGCACCUUGAAACUAUUUUGAGACAGACUUGGUGUUAUUGGGCCAGGAAAUGGCAAUGGAUUAGUUUGACAGGGCGUUGCCCCUCAAAAAAGAUUUUUCCCAAAGUACUGCGCCAAAGAACCAAUAAUUGUCCGGCCUACAAAAGUUCUCUCAAGUCCCAGGCUACAGGUGCACAAGGGAGAGGAUUUUCCACUGGAAUUAUUUUCCUUCACAGUGAUACAACGUGCAGUGAUGGAUAGUUGCUGUUGUCACAUAAAAGCCAUACAAUCGGGUAGUAUAUCACUCACCAAAUAUAAAUAUCACAACGCUGAUAAUUGGAAUGGGUCCUGCGGGUGUUUGAUUGCUUGCCAGCCAAGUGACGUCAGAGUGAAGGUUGCGCUCCAUACUUGCGGUGAAGUUCUGAGGCGUGGGCCUUGGUUGGUAAGGUGUGGUGUGUGAAGUCACGGUCAGGGUCAGUGUGGCCAGGAACAUCAGAAAACUGGAGGUGUACAGCAGAGCUUUGCGCCCCGCUUUGUCCAUCAAAACCGCUGCCAAGCUGACAGAAACAAGGCGAACCAACCCCACAAUUGCAGCAUCGUACCUGAUGCGGCACACAGGGACAGGUAGCGACUUAACUACACUAUGCAAAAAAUGCUCAUUAAUUAAAGAUAAUGAGCUGUCAUGCGCAGAAUGAACGAGUCGGGUUGCAUUUCACACCUGGGCUCCAGCGAGACAUUGCUCUGCGAAAAGAUGGGCUCCAAGUAGACAAGAAUGGGGCUGAUGCCGGUCAGCUGCUGCAGGAAACGCAUGCCCACAGAGAUGAGAAUUGGCCGGUAGUAGACCGGCUUAGCCAGCUCGUACCAGGAGACGCGGCUCUGCAGGCGUAUGCUGUGCUGCAUUGAAGUACACAUGCAGAAUACCUAGUUAGAGGUUCUUGAAUCCUGAGAGUCGACAGUAGAUAGAAUGGCAGUUGUCCCUUAUUGCCAUUCUGCUCACGGCCUCUAGAGGGCAAACCUGCAUGCGAGCAGGGGAUUGUUAUCAUGCGCUGUGAGCCAGUCCAACUUUAUAACAAGUUUAAGUGCCAACUUUGUCCUGUAACUUCUUUAUAUGUUAUUAACAGUUGAUAAUAGCACUCUCUGCUGUAUGUGUUUGACGUUCUUUUCCAUUUCAUCAUUUUUAUUGUACAUCUCACCUUGAUGGCAUCCAGCUCGCUUUGUAUGUCGUAGUCAGCUCCCCUCAGCCAGUGAAGGGCGCGCUCGGCCUGCUCCGCUCUGUCCAGAGAGAGGAGCCUUCUGGGGGAGUAAGGCAUGAAGACUAGCAGCAGUACCAUCAGCAAUGCUGGCACACCUCCUGCCACCGCAAGCCACCGCCACGCUGCCAUGCAUCAUUUGGGAAUGCGGAGGAAACCGGAGUACCCGGAGAAAACCCACGCAACCUACAGGAAUGGACGCCGCUGUCACCCCCCCGGCGACACCAGUGAGGAAGCGGCCCAAGUGGAGCAUCCAUAAUUCCGUAGCCCCUCCCAGCAACAGGUACCUGAAAUGCACACGUUAAGAAUGAAGUCACAAUAGCCAUGACUGAAGUGUGCAUGGACUAUAAUGGACUACGCAAUAGCAUCUACAGUCCUUUCAAAUACAGUUUCAUAUCUGACCCAAUAGCAGAAGGGAUGGCUGAGACCAUAAUGCUCAGCUUUCUGCCAAUCAAGUCAUUAAGCAGCAUGGCCCCGAGUCCACCGCAGGCCACACCCAGCAUGUAGAUUGAGCCGAACAAGGCGGCCUGGGAGGUGUCCAUCCUCAGCCGGGGGUCCGCAUCAGGACCCUGGAGCACAGGCAGGACGGGAGACGGAUAGACCAGGGAAUAGCCGAAAUUGAAGUUUCCUAAGACGGCUGCAAAAACAGCCAGGAACAGUUUGGAUUUGUUGAACUGGAAUGGAGAGAAGAGGAUUAAUUAAAACACUGACAAUGUUAGAUUUUUACAGCUGUUGUCAGUUUUAGCAUUCCUUUCCACUAAGCCAUAAAUUUUUCCCAUAUUAACAUCAUGAGUUCUCAUAGGUUGCUAGCAUGCUCGAUGUUAGCAUACGCAUUUCAGUUGGGUUGGACUGUCCCCAAAGUUAAGACCGCUUUAGCGGCCAAACCCAACACCCAAUGUCUGUCACAAACGCUACACGCACAUGUAGCGGGUCCAUUUAAACUUGGUUUAGUUAUAUUGCCAGUGAUGAAAAUGAGUCUAAAGUUCAAAAGUACUACAUAACGGUAUCUGUUUUUGUUGUUGAGGUGAGUUUUGUAUCGCUUACCGUGGCUUCUGGUGAUGGCUCUCUUGGAUUCAGUAGAGAUCUUCCUUCAUCCAUGUCAGCACAGGAGGACUGCACAACAGUAGUACGGUCUAGCCUUUUAUAUAAUAUCACAAAUAAGGCCAAAAUAAAGUUAUUUUGCUAUUGUUUAAGUCAGUCAUAUUUACAAAAACGCGAACCUGAGAUAUGUCCAGUGCGGUAAUGUC